CCUCCUUUGGCAGCGGAGGACCAAACACAACCAAAGUUACAUCAACCUCUCCGUCUCACUACCCUAUAGAAGAAUCUAUAAAUCAUUUCAUCUAAUUCCUCACCAAUUAAACAAAUCGAAGCUAUAAGAAAAAAACCUAAUUCUCCCAUUUCAGAAAUUAUAUGGAGAUUCAGAGGAAUCAAAGCCUCUUAUGAGAGGGCUUUGAUUCCUAAGGCCUGGUGUUACAUCUUGGUAAUUGAAUCGAAGAAAAACGAAUGGUGAUCAAACACUUACCUCACCGGAGAAGACGACAGAAGCGGAAAAAAAGUAUGCUUGUGGUUGUAUUCAUGGAAUGCUUGAAUUGAGUUAAACAUUAGACUAUCAUGGGGCUCUUUUGGAAUUGCAUUUGCAUUAGCUAUGGUUCACUGAUGGAAUGCUUGGAAUUGAAAAUGGACAUAUCAUUGUUCAUUGGGAUUGUUUUUUAAUGCUUGGAUUUGGACAUGUAGGAUAUUUUUGUAGGCUUUAUGUUUGGUUAUGUAUGAAUAUUGUAUUUGGAAUUGUAUUAAUGAAAUGUAAUUAUGGUUAAAUGAAUGUAUGGUCAUUUGGAAAGGGCUGUGUAAUGUUGAAAUGGGAUGUAAUUUGAUUUAAAUGGAAUAUGUGGUUAUGGAUUGAUGUAAAAAAAAGGCUUAAUGGAUAUGGUUUAUGUUUCUUGA